UGGCGACCGGCGCACGGGUGAGUAACGCGUAUCCAACCUGCCCUUUACUAUGGGACAGCCCGUCGAAAGGCGGAUUAAUACCGUGUGUUGUCAUGUUGAUGCAUAUUUUCAUGACCAAAGGCUUCGGCCGGUAAAGGAUGGGGAUGCGUCUGAUUAGCUUGCCGGCGGGGUAACGGCCCACCGGGGCGACGAUCAGUAGGGGUUCUGAGAGGAAGGUCCCCCACAUUGGAACUGAGACACGGUCCAAACUCCUACGGAAGGCAGCAG
rnacentral:rRNA from 1 species